AGUCAAGAUACAUACCUACAACUUCUUUAACAUAGUGAAAAAAGAUUAAUGCUGAUGUUUAAAGACACAAUUUUUCGAAGGAAAUUUGUCCAUUUGCUCGAAUAAGCAAUAGGUGGAUGGGAACGUAAAACAACAAUUCGUAGGCGUAUUAAAGUUGACUUUAACCUAAAGGAUGUCAAAAAGUAUGCAGCGCCACGUCUCAAGGAUUAUUGUUAUCCUCAUCAUCAAGCUCAUAUUUUAUUUAAGGAAUUUUUUAUUUUGUAUUGUGUCUAUCCAAGUGAACAGUACCCAAGUGAAAAGAUUAAAAGUCAUACCAUCCUAGCUUUAAUAAGGUAUUCAACCACAACCUACCAGGUCUUGUAAAUUGGUUUGCUCAUACGCAAACUAGUCAAGCUAUGCAUGUAAUAGACAUACCAAUUGAAAUUGAAAAUAAAUGGUUACACAUCACACUCUCAAAUUACAGUGUGGCAGUGGCGCAAAGAAAGAAGAAGGAUCAAAGAGAAAACUUUUUCGUCAAUAUUGGUGAGAAUUAAAAUUAGAAUGAAUGGAAAUAAAACACAUAUUAUAUACCUAGAAAUAAACAUAUUAUCAUCUUCUUUAAAACCUUAUACGUUAUCGCGUUCUCACGGAUAAUGUCAUGUGGACGAUUUUGGUGUGGUCGGAAUCGGAAACCAAUCUCAUAGCGAAAAAGACAUGAAUAAUUAGUUAUACAGGUGGGACGAUAUAAAUUUGAGACGAAUUCAGAGAGAAUAAGAUGCGGGAUAAAAAUCGAUGAUGUUAAUAAAUGAAAUAAAAUUUGCAUAUUUUAAACUUAA